rnacentral:tRNA from 1 species
GCCGUCGUGGUAUAACGGUAGCACACUCAGUUCAUAUUCGAGAGGUCCAGGUUCGAGUCCUGGAGAGGGCA